UCCAUUACUUGUUGUUUGGUUUGGGUAAUGACUUAACCAUUACCCUUACUUGAGGGUAACCCAAUCACCCAAUUUGUUACCCCUCAAAAUAGAGGGGAAACAAAAGAAAGGGAAUCCCUUACUAAUGAUUCAUUUCCAUUGUUAAACCAAACACUCAAUAAAAGUAAUGGUUAUUGUUACCAUUCCACUCCUUUAUUUGAUUCCA
rnacentral:lncRNA from 1 species